GAAAGAAAUGCAGCAGAGGUGCAACUGUUUGCCCGGAUCUUUCCGGCUGGGAUACUGGGCCAAAUAAUCAGGGAUUGUCUCCCGGCUAGGGUGCUGAUUUAUCCAAGGAGCUUUCUAAACCCGCCGGCUGAUGAGGAUUCGCCCUAGAAAAAGAGUUGCUAUUUUUCUUCGGAACGAAAUGUUCGAUUUUCGAGAAAAUUUUAUCGGUCAUCCGCGCCCUGCUUCUGGCCCGUGUCCUGCUGAAACUAUAAACAGACAAAAUUGCGAGGCAGCGAGCAAACGAAUUGAUGAUAGACACAAAAAAAAUCCGUGGAAAGGCAAAUCUAAAAAAAACCUAGGUGACAUUUUUUGGUGCUGCAAGCCAGAGUCCAACACCUCGAAGAUCCUGCCCCAGGUCAUAGCAGUACUAAACUUAAAGUCCUCGGCACUGGCAUCAACCAGAAAUUACGCGAUCUGCGGGAGUGCUCCGGGAGAGGCCUCCUCUGAGUACGGUCAAGAAGACAACACGCGAGAGGACACUUUCUUCAAAAUUUAAUGAUGGUGCAGGAGGUUGCGUCGGAAGCACGUGGGAGGAAGAAACGACGCAGUAUGGGAGGAGCAUUUAGCCAAUUUAUGGUAUAACAGGUGGUUCAGCAGAAUCCCAUAAUAAAAUCUCGUUAUUAUUUUAACUUAUAGGGCAGAUAGGAAAUAAUGAGAAAUUAUAAUAAACAAUUUUGAAUUUGAAUUGCAUUGUUUAUUUAAUUUUAAGUGUAUCUACUAUUUACGGUUAACAUACAGUCCAGAUGCUUCUAAAUACUACAUCACUGACACAGCACCUCUGGCACAGUACCGCAACACCGAAACUCAACAUGACUAGCACAGCAACACUGACACAGACUCUGCACCACCGACUUAGAAUAC